GGUGGCCUAGUGGUUAGAGCAUCUGCCUGAAAUGCGGGAGGUCAUGGGUUCUAACCCAUGCAGUCA